CCAGCUUUCUUUGCCGUAUGGCUUAGAUAAAGUGUAGUAUCUGUUCUUUUCAGUUUAAUCGCUGAAAUUGUCCAUAAUGGGCAACAAAUCAUAACGAUUAAAUCAAUUUUUACAACGUGAUCCUGGGAAGCGCUGUGGCUUGCCCUCACCAUCCCAGGAUACUGUGUCUCUGGUAUCACACUGCUUCCAGAGGAUGCGAAUAUGG
rnacentral:snRNA from 1 species